ACCAUCUUCCCCUUUAAGGACCCAACAUAGACCCAAACUACCUUAUAAAUGACCAUCUUCCCUAUUAAGGAUCCAAAUAGUCCCAAAGUACUCCAAGUUGACACCAGUUACUCAGGCUGUCCAAACCUUUUCCACCAAGGCUGGCACACAAAAAGUGUUUGGAGGCCAUUUUGAAAAAGUUUCAUUUGGUGAAAAAAGAGGAGCUGGUUGAUAUUUCAAGACACACAUGAUGACUAUUGAUCAUGUGACUUUCCAAUUAGCCCACGAACAGUACGCAGAGUGCUUAGUGGAAUGGGUUUCCAUGGCCGAGCAGCAGCACCUAAGCCAUACAUCAGCAAGUCCAAUGCAGUGGUGUAAAGCACGUCUGGGUUUGGAUCUCGCCAGGAGAACGCUACAUUUCGGACUGCAUUGUGCAGAGUGUGGAAUUUGGUGGUGGAGGAAUUAUGGUGUGGGGUUGUUUUUCAGGCGUUACUUUGAAUGCUCCAGGAUACCAAAACAUUUUGGACAAUUCCCUGGGAUGGCAACUCAAGUUCACAUCGCCUCCUGGGCCCUCAAGGCUUCUCGCUGGUUCCUCUGGGUCCACGCCACGGCCCGCCACCCUCGCCAGGCUCUCAGCUGCCGCCUCCAGUCACACAAGGCCUUGGCCUUUCCCACACGCAGCCUCCGCUCCAGCACCAGCGAGUACCAUCGGGAGAAGUGCCGGCGCUGACACUAGGGGGCGCCGCCACCUGUCAGACCUCGGCUGACACAGAGAGAUACCUGUGACACAGUCGGACGAUCUCCUGCUGCACCAUCUCCUCCUGCCUCCUCCUGGCCUCCUGCCUCUUCCUCCUCUCCUCCAGCUCCCGCUCUCUCCUCCGGGCCUCCUCGCCGGCUGCGUCCCGCCGGGCUCUCUUCUCGCGCACCUGUGGCUAGCGUUAACCCAGGGUGGCGCGGGAUUGUCUGUGGUGACCUACCUGCUGGUGGCGCACCUGCAUGGUGACCACGGGGUCGUUGAACUUCCUGUGCCUGCCGUCCUGUGUCAGCUGCUCCAUGGUGCGAGCGUCCAGCAUUUCCUGCUCCUGCAGGUCGUGCAGGAAGUUGCUGACGGCGCGGUGCUCUUCCUCCUC